rnacentral:RNase_P_RNA from 1 species
CAGGCCGGUCGAGACGAUCGCGGACACCAAUGGCGAAAGCCGGUGGAUGAGGAAAGUCCGGGCUCCACAGGAUAGGGUGCCGGGUAACUCCCGGUGAAGGCAACUUUAAGGAAAGUGCAACAGAAAAGAAAACCGCCUCUUUUGAGGUAAGGAUGAAAAGGCGAGGUAAGAGCUCACCGGCGGUGUGGAGACAUACCGGCCUUGUAAACCCCACCCGGAGCAACGUCGUGGAAAGGCAUAACCGUUAUCCGCGGGCCUUGAGGAGACGGCUCGAGUCUUAUAGAAAUAUAAGACCCAGAUAGAUGAUCGUCAUAUACAGAACCCGGCUUACCGGCCGGCAUGGAUA